UACAGAGGUGGCAAGCGUUGUUCGGAAUUACUGGGCGUAAAGGGCGCGUAGGCGGCCUCCUAAGUCGGACGUGAAAGCCCCAGGCUUAACCUGGGAACUGCGUCCGAUACUGGAGGGCUUGAGUGCGGGAGAGGGAUGUGGAAUUCCAGGUGUAGCGGUGAAAUGCGUAGAUAUCGGGAGGAACACCAAUGGCGAAGGCAGCUCGCUGGGACGGUACUGACGCUGAGACGCGAAAGCGUGGGGAGCAAACAGG
rnacentral:rRNA from 1 species